rnacentral:miRNA from 1 species
AAGGAGAUGUGUAUGUGUGUGGGUAUGUACAUUGGUUCACUGGAGGCUCUCUCUCAUACACACACACACACACAC